UAAGUACGUUUACUUGUAGUUUGUUUUAAUUAAAAUCGAUGUGUUUAAUCUGUAAUUGGAUUAAGUACAUACUGAAGCAUAGGCAUAACUGUCUUUUAAAACUUUUUGCACCAAUUUGCAAAACACAUAACACAUUAUACCCAAUAGAUCCAUCAAACCAAUUGGUAUCUAGUAAUACACAAAAUAUUGUAAACAUCUUGGUAUAAAUAACAGUGCCAGUACAAUUCGUUUUAAAGUACACUAUAAGAAUAUACCUAGAAUAAAAGCCAUGAAAAAACUACGCAUAACAAGGACAAUAAUAUAUGAACAUGAUAAACAACAGCAGAAUUCAGUUAGCUUUCAACAUUUACUAUUCAUGGUUUUGGUUGAAAACGAGAUAACAGAUAAGUGACAGUAAAAUGGUUUUUCUAUGAAAUGGAGACUCUGAUAAACUACAAAAUCGUUGUUGAAAUUUGAAUAAAUUAAAGUUUUGUUUUGUUACAGAGUGAUUUCCCUUGAUAUAAGACACAAAACGGAUGGGGAAAAAGAUGAUCAUGAUUUUCAAACAGAGUAGCCAUCCUAUAAUGAGUAAGUACAAGUAAGUAAAAGAUUUAAUAACUACGCCAAAAUAUACUACGCAACAAUUAUAAAUAUUAAAUUGAAGUGGUUUUUUUUUAAAAUGAAUUCAUAAUUAUUUGGAUAAUAUCAUACUUUACUUUAAAAAAAACCAUGAAAAACUAAGAUAUGUCUCUUGCAAAUACGUUCAACGUUAUGUUUAGCAUGUUCAAAGCCGAAACAAUAAGUAAUCUCGGGCAUAAUCAAUUUUCCAUUAUUCGGCUAUAGUUGAUGUAAUGUGACCACAUUUUGUAUCACAUGAUGAAGACCUGGGUGUAUAUUUAAAUUUGUCGUGAUUGGUUGCAAAAAUGAACGUAGAAUAUGUUGUGUUUGUAUUGAUUUUUAUUCUUUUUUUCUUUUUAAAUAAUCAGUAAAAGCAAUAAAUGACAUUUUGUUUUGUCCUUCAGGCUCACCAAAUUAUACAGAUGCCAAUAAACGUAUUAUACAUAUACAUGAUAAAGGGACGUUCUCAUUCUCUUUAUCAUAGUAUUUGUAUCUACCAUAAGCAACAUGAUGAGUUAACUGAUAUCUUCCAUUGUUUUAAGUAGGGUAAGCCAUGUUCAGUCUUUAGUAUUCUAAUUCGGAUUGUAUGAAAUGGUCGUCUACUGAUAAUUCACAAUAAUUUUCUUCAUGGGUAUUGAAUAUUACGUUGAUACCUUUGCCGCUUUUUUUUUACAAAAUAUAAGAAUAGAUUAUAAUGACAAUUUGUCCAUGUUAUCUUCACUUCUUAGAUGUAGACUAAUGUAAAUGUACCUGCCGUCUCUUUUUCAGCGGUUCACCGACAACUAACUAUAGAGGGAGUGUGAGACAGGUUACAUCAUUAUGUUAGAAAACAAGCCCAUACCAUAUAUUCGACAAUCAAAU
rnacentral:lncRNA from 1 species